rnacentral:rRNA from 1 species
CUUAGUGGCGGACGGGUGAGUAACGCGUGGGUAACCUGCCCCAUACCGGGGGAUACCACCUGGAAACAGGUGCUAAUACCGCAUAAGCGCACGGGAGCGCAUGCUCCUGUGUGAAGAACUCCGGUGGUAUGGGAUGGACCCGCGUCUGAUUAGCCAGUUGGCAGGGUAACGGCCUACCAAAGCGACGAUCAGUAGCCGGCCUGAGAGGGUGGACGGCCACAUUGGGACUGAGACACGGCCCAAACUCCUACGGGAGGCAGCAG